rnacentral:rRNA from 1 species
UGGCGACGGGUGAGUAACGCGUGGAAAACCUGCCGUAUACUGGGGGAUAACACUUAGAAAUAGGUGCUAAUACCGCAUAAGCGCACAGCUUCGCAUGAAGCGGUGUGAAAAACUCUGGUGGUAUACGAUGGUCCCGCGUCUGAUUAGCUAGUUGGUGGGGUAAUGGCCUACCAAGGCAACGAUCAGUAGCCGGCCUGAGAGGGUGAACGGCCACAUUGGGACUGAGACACGGCCCAAACUCCUACGGAAGGCAGCAG